GGAGGGUGCGAGCGUUAAUCGGAAUUACUGGGCGUAAAGCGCGCGUAGGCGGCUAGGUCAGUCGAAUGUGAAAGCCCCGGGCUUAACCUGGGAAUUGCACUCGAUACUGCCUGACUAGAGUAUGGGAGAGGGAAGUGGAAUUUCCGGUGUAGCGGUGAAAUGCGUAGAUAUCGGAAGGAACACCAGUGGCGAAGGCGACUUCCUGGCCCAAUACUGACGCUGAGGUGCGAAAGCGUGGGUAGCGAACAGGGAUUAGAUACCCUGGUAGUCCACGCCGUAAACGAUGAGAACUAGAUGUCGGGAGGAUUUACCUCUCGGUGUCGCAGCUAACGCGUUAAGUUCUCCGCCUGGGGAGUACGCCGGCAACGGUA
rnacentral:rRNA from 1 species